rnacentral:rRNA from 1 species
CAGUCGCCGCGGGAAUACGAAGGGUGCAAGCGUUACUCGGAAUUACUGGGCGUAAAGCGUGCGUGGGUGGUGGUUUAAGUCCGUUGUGAAAGCCCUGGGCUCAACCUGGGAAUUGCAGUGGAUACUGGGUCACUAGAGUGUGGUAGAGGAUAGUGGAAUUUCCGGUGUAGCAGUGAAAUGCGUAGAGAUCGGAAGGAACAUCUGUGGCGAAGGCGACUAUCUGGGCCAACACUGACACUGAGGCACGAAAGCGUGGGGAGCAAACAGGAUUAGAUACCCCGGUAGUCCCUGUCUCUUAUAC